AUCGAUAAUCCACGAUAANUUUCACUUUAAUUAAAAAUUUAUAUACCGCCAUCUAAAGACUUAAUUCUAAAAUAUUUUCCAAAUAAUUAAUAAAAAGUUAGGUCAAGGUGUAAUCCAUAAUAAAGACUAAAUGAAUUACAAUAAAUAAAACUUAAAGAUUAUAAAUAUAUAUAUUUAUAUAAAUAAGGAUUUAAAAGUAAUAUAAAAACAAUAAUUUAAUAUGAUAAAGAUAAUAAAUGUGCACACAUCGCCC
rnacentral:rRNA from 1 species